rnacentral:rRNA from 1 species
CAGGGGGUGCAAACGUUGCUCGGAAUUAUUGGGCGUAAAGCGCGCGUAGGCGGCUACUUAAGUCGGAUGUGAAAGCCCUUGGCUCAACUGAGGAAGUGCACCCGAAACUGAGUGGCUUGAGUACUAAAGAGGGUCGCGGAAUUCCCGGUGUAGAGGUGAAAUUCGUAGAUAUCGGGAGGAACACCGGUGGCGAAGGCGGCGACCUGGGUAGAUACUGACGCUGAGGCGCGAAAGCGUGGGGAGCAAACAGGAUUAGAUACCCUGGUAGUCCACGCCGUAAACGAUGGGUGCUAGAUGUUUCUAGUAUUGACCCCGGAGGCGUCGUAGCUAACGCGUUAAGCACCCCGCCUGGGAAGUACGGCCGCAAGGCUA